UGGGGGUUAUUGCACAAUGGGCGAAAGCCUGAUGCAGCGACGCCGCGUGGGGGAUGAAGGCUUUCGGGUUGUAAACCUCUUUCGCUAUCGAACAAGGCCCGCUUAGGGUGGGUUGAGGGUAGGUGGAGAAGAAGCGCCGGCUAACUACGUGCCAGCAGCCGCGGUAAUACGUAGGGCGCGAGCGUUGUCCGGAAUUAUUGGGCGUAAAGGGCUUGUAGGCGGUUUGUUGCGCCCUCUGUGAAAACGCGGGGCUUAACUUCGCGCGGGGAGUGGGUAAGGGCAGGGUUGAGUGUGGUAGGGGUGACUAGAAUUCCAGGUGUAGCGGUGGAAUGCGCAGAUAUCUGGAGGAACACCGAUGGCGAAAGCAGGUCACUGGGUCAUUACUGACGCUGAGGAGAGAAAGCAUGGGUAGCGAACAGG
rnacentral:rRNA from 1 species